CUCUCAAAUCCUUCCUCAACAUCCCUCCGGACUCCCACUUCCCCCUCGAGAACCUCCCCUUCGGCGUCUUCCGCCCCAAAUCCCUCGCCGCCGCUCCGCCACGCCCCGCCGUCGCCAUCGGCGACUCCGUCCUCGACCUUUCCGCCGUCGCUACCGCCGGCCUCUUCGAUGGGCCCAUUCUCAAGGGAAAUUCAGAUUGCUUCCUUCAGCCGAACCUUAACAUGUUCGUGGGACUGGGGCGACCUGCGUGGACGGAG
rnacentral:misc_RNA from 1 species